rnacentral:rRNA from 1 species
GAACGGGACUGGUAGCAAUCCCAUGAGAGUGGCGCACGGGUGAGUAACGCGUAUGCAACCUGCCUUUAACUGAGGGAUAGCCCAUAGAAAUGUGGAUUAAUACCUCAUAGUUCUUAGGAACCGCAUGGUUUUGAAGAUAAAGCUCCGGCGGUUAAAGAUGGGCAUGCGUGACAUUAGCUAGUUGGUGAGGUAACGGCUCACCAAGGCUACGAUGUCUAGGGGUUCUGAGAGGAUGAUCCCCCACACUGGUACUGAGACACGGACCAGACUCCUACGGGAGGCAGCAGUGAGGAAUAUUGGUCAAUGGGCGCAAGCCUGAACCAGCCAUCCCGCGUGCAGGAUGACGGCCCUAUGGGUUGUAAACUGCUUUUAUACACCAAGAAAAACACCCACGUGUGGGUGCCCGACGGUAGUGUAUGAAGUAGGCGGCUUUUUAAGUCAGUGGUGAAAUCCUGCCGCUUAACGGUAGAAUUGCCAUUGAUACUGAAGAGCUUGAGUACAGUUGAGGUAAGCGGAAUGUGUAGUGUAGCGGUGAAAUGCUUAGAUAUUACACAGAACACCAAUUGCGAAGGCAGCUUACUAAACUGAUACUGACGCUGAUGCACGAAAGCGUGGGGAGCGAACAGGAUUAGAUACCCUGGUAGUCCACGCCGUAAACGAUGCUCACUCGCUGUUUGCGAUACACAGCAAGCGGCCAAGCGAAAGCAUUAAGUGAGCCACCUGGGGAGUACGAUCGCAAGGUUGAAACUCAAAGGAAUUGACGGGGGCCCGCACAAGCGGAGGAACAUGUGGUUUAAUUCGAUGAUACGCGAGGAACCUUACCUGGGCUUAAAUGGGGAACGACAGCUGCCGAAAGGUGGCCUUCUUCGGACGUUCUUCGAUACGCGAGGAACCUUACCUGGGCUUAAAUGGGGAACGACAGCUGCCGAAAGGUGGCCUUCUUCGGACGUUCUUCAAGGUGCUGCAUGGUUGUCGUCAGCUCGUGCCGUGAGGUGUCGGGUUAAGUCCCAUAACGAGCGCAACCCUUAUCGUUAGUUGCCAGCGGGUCAAGCCGGGGACUCUAGCGAGACUGCCACCGUAAGGUGUGAGGAAGGUGGGGAUGACGUCAAAUCAGCACGGCCCUUAUGUCCAGGGCUACACACGUGUUACAAUGGCCAAUACAAAGGGCAGCUACCGGGUGACCGGAUGCUAAUCUCUAAAGUUGGUCUCAGUUCGGAUCGAAGUCUG